GUGAAUCAUCGAAUCUUUGAACGCACCUUGCACCUUUUGGUAUUCCGAAAGGUAUGCCUGUUUGAGUGUCUUGAAACCUCACACUCUAGAGUUUUCUCUAGAGACGUGGAUUUGGGUGUUGCAAUUUGCUCACCUUGAAUGACUUAGUGGUUCCUACCGUAGCCUGAUGUAAUAAGUUUCAUCUGGUCAAGGGAAGACUGCUUCUAAUCGCCUUACGGCACUAUUUAAGACUAGACCUCAAAUCAGGUAGGACUACCCGCUGAACUUAAGCAUAUCAAUAAGCGGAGGA
rnacentral:misc_RNA from 1 species